AGUCAUAUGCUUGUCUCAAAGAUUAAGCCAUGCAUGUCUCAGUACAAGCCUAAUUAAGGUGAAACCGCGAAAGGCUCAUUAAAUCAGUUAUGGUUCCUUAGAUCGUACCCACAUUUACUUGGAUAACUGUGGUAAUUCUAGAGCUAAUACAUGCAAACAGAGCUCCGACCGGAGACGGGAGGAGUGCUUUUAUUAGAUCAAAACCAAUCGGCGGCGGGCGCGUUCGCGCGUCCGUUCGCCGCUCAAACUGGUGACUCUGAAUAACUUUCCGCUGAUCGCACGGUCUCGCACCGGCGACGCAUCUUUCAAAUGUCUGCCUUAUCAACUGUCGAUGGUAGGUUCUGCGCCUACCAUGGUCGUAACGGGUAACGGGGAAUCAGGGUUCGAUUCCGGAGAGGGAGCCUGAGAAACGGCUACCACAUCCAAGGAAGGCAGCAGGCGCGCAAAUUACCCACUCCCGGCACGGGGAGGUAGUGACGAAAAAUAACGAUACGGGACUCAUCCGAGGCCCCGUAAUCGGAAUGAGUACACUUUAAAUCCUUUAACGAGGAUCAAUUGGAGGGCAAGUCUGGUGCCAGCAGCCG
rnacentral:rRNA from 1 species